CCCUGCCUGUGGGAGCGGGUGCUACGGGUGGAUGGCCCUUCCCCCCAUUUAUUCUAGGAGUGAGAACUGCCAUCGGUAACUAAGGUACUGCUUUGCCUUCCGCAGCCUACACUUCGUCUGCUUCUCUUCAGCAGGUGGAGCAGAAUUUGAAUGUUUUGCAUCUAGUCCCACUCCUUUCCUAAUGCUUGCAGCUUUUGUACAGCUCUGCCGGAUAUCCAUCGCACCUCAUUCAGCCUGUGCUAGAACACCGACAGGAACAGGGAGCUCACUACCAACAGGGACCUUGGCGGGUGGCUCCGGAAAGGCAGGCAGCAGCCUGUUGUUACCAGUUGGAGGCAUUGUUCAGGAGGAGAUGAAGCUCCUUACCACCCCUCAGCGGUGUCCUAAUGGGCUCUUGCUGCUUUCGCAACAAACCUGAUGUCUUUGCUCCUAAGACCCUGAACUGCCCCAUCCUCUACCCUCAGCAGAUCAUGUCACCUGCUGCUCUCUCGACAGGGUUGGGGUUUCCAGCAAAAGCUCUUGCAUUUCCGCCUAGUGUCUUCACACCGCUCUCUGGGUAGCCUGUCCCUUCUCUUCCCUGCCCUCCCUCCUUCUCCUCCCUCCUCCCUCUCCCCUUUGUCCAUUACACCUUCACUGCUGCCCAGCUCCUCCUAUCUUUCCCCUCUGGGAAAAAAAAAACUUUAAAUAUUGCCCUUGCCCUUAAAAAUUCCUUCCUUCAGGGAAAAAGGGAAGAGGGAGGGAGAAAUGAAGGAAGGGACAAGAAAAAAAAGUGAAAACAGAAGAGAAAAUGGAAACAAAGUGUUUAGACAUAGGGAGAGGAGAGGGCUUAAGGGAAGGGGAGAAUGGGGGAAAAAAGGUGGGAUGUACCAUGGAAUGUACCAGGUACAAAUACGAGUUCCCUGUCACUGUCUAAAUUGUACCAAUAAGUGUUUUUGCUGUGUAAAAAAAAAUUCCUUCCUUCACACGCUAAUUAACAAAACAAUGAUAUCACUCACACUCAUCAAGCUGGCAAAAGUCAACGCGCACAGUGACACUGAGGGCCAGGCCCACAGGGAUCUGGCAGCGCUGUGCUCUUGCUUUGAGACAGCGCCCAGGAAACCCGGAGACGCAGCGGGCUUCACUUCUCGGCGGGGCCAUGGAGCGACUCUCUCAUGGGGACCGUGGAGGUAGGAUGGAGCUCGUUCACUCCCGCACUGUUGCUAACACUGAGAAAUAGCGACAACAAAGCUGUCGGCAGCAGCGAAGGGACGUGGCUUAUUCAUAGAAGGGUGGGUAAGGUGAAUGAGCCAGAACUGUAUCCGUCAUCACCGGCAAGCUCAUAAAUAAUGUGGCGAUAACUUGAGUCAUUUGUAGGAAAUGGAUGAACCUGGAGACCAUAACGGCAAAUGAAAUAAAUGAGACACGCAGCUUAAAUAUUGCAUGAUUUCUCCCCUAUGAGAAACCCAAAAUAUAAAUAAAGAGCAAAAUACAUAGUAAUAGAUAAACGAUAGGAAAUAGGGUGACAGAUCUUUGCAAAUGGGAAGGGGACCAAGAAACGGAGAGAGGGGAGAGGGAAAGGAUGGGAAGGGGAAAAAAAUAGAAUUGAGAUGCGUGUAUACAGGGACCAACUCCCCGUGAGGAAUGUAGUUAUUAUGUAUUGCACACAUGCAUCAACACAAAAUAAAAAUGAGGAGCUGGGGAUGUAGCUCAGUGGUGUCCCGAUUGCCU